UACGUAGGGGGCAAGCGUUGUCCGGAAUCAUUGGGCGUAAAGAGCGCGUAGGCGGUCCGGUAAGUCCGCUCUGAAAGCCCGGGGCUCAACCCCGGGAGGCGGGCGGAUACUGUCGGGCUAGAGUCCGGAAGAGGCGAGUGGAAUUCCUGGUGUAGCGGUGAAAUGCGCAGAUAUCAGGAGGAACACCGAUGGCGAAGGCAGCUCGCUGGGACGGUACUGACGCUAAGGCGCGAAAGCGUGGGGAGCAAACAGG
rnacentral:rRNA from 1 species